UGAUCUUCACCCAGCAACAUAUGAUGUCAUCACCAACCCAAGUAAAGUAGAAGAGACAUAUGCUGUCAUCACAAACCCCAGUGAUAAAAAAGAGGAGGAUAAACCCCUGGCAACAGCUGUUUACUACACUCUGAGCAUGAGACAAGGAGAAUCUAGCUCCACUGCGACACCAGUUCUCUCUGCAAGUCACUGAGAGCAGAGGCACCGGGCUGAACAACACACAGUAAACUCUUUAAAACUUGUACAACAGCAGCUUUUAGAUUAGCUUUGACUGUUUUAUUUAUAUCUUAUGACUGAAGUACAGUAGAGCAGUAGUUCUCAACCUUUUUGAGUCGCGACCCCCAAUUUAACACGCAUGUUGUCUGCGACCCCCGCUCACUGAACACAAUCUCACACAGAUCAUACAAACUCAGUUGACACAACGAAUUUUGGACAAAUAAUGAAGCCGACAACAACUAAAACAUCUCUCUGUCUGUGCAUUUAUAUCUUUGUUUAUAUUUGAUUGUUACUU